AGGAGCCGAGUGAGGGGGAACUCUCACGCUCGGUUUUGAAGGAGAGGAUGGAAUAGUGAUAUUCUAUUCGACUCUAAU
rnacentral:ncRNA from 1 species